rnacentral:rRNA from 1 species
GAUGAACGCUGGCGGCGUGCCUCAAACAUGCAAGUCGAGCGAGGCUAUGAAUUACCGCAAGGUAAGGCAUAGCCUAGCGGCGAACGGGUGAGUAACACGUGGGUAACCUACCUGGAAGACAGGGAUAACGAUUCGAAAGGGUCGCUAAUACCUGAUAAUAUCCGUCUGCCGGAUGGCGGAGGGAAGAAAGGGGAAACCCGCUUUCAGAUGGGCCCGCGUCCCAUCAGCUAGUUGGUAAGGUAAAGGCUUACCAAGGCGACGACGGGUAGCCGGUCUGAGAGGAUGUACGGCCACACUGGGACUGAGAUACGGCCCAGACUCCUACGGGAGGCAGCAGUUGGGAAUCUUAGGCAAUGGACGAAAGUCUGACCUAGCGACGCCGCGUGAGGGAAGAAGGCCUUCGGGUUGUAAACCUCUGUCAUGGGGGAAGAAGGAAGUGACGGUACCCCAAGAGGAAGCCCCUGCUAACUACGUG